rnacentral:rRNA from 1 species
GACGAACGCUGGCGGCGUGCCUAAUACAUGCAAGUAGAACGCUGAAGGAGGAGCUUGCUUCUCUGGAUGAGUUGCGAACGGGUGAGUAACGCGUUGGUAACCUGCCUGGUAGCGGGGGAUAACUAUUGGAAACGAUAGCUAAUACCGCAUAAUAGUAGAUGUUGCAUGACAUUUGCUUAAAAGGUGCAAUUGCAUCACUACCAGAUGGACCUGCGUUGUAUUAGCUAGUUGGUGAGGUAACGGCUCACCAAGGCAACGAUACAUAGCCGACCUGAGAGGGUGAUCGGCCACACUGGGACUGAGACACGGCCCAGACUCCUACGGGAGGCAGCAGUAGGGAAUCUUCGGCAAUGGACGGAAGUCUGACCGAGCAACGCCGCGUGAGUGAAGAAGGUUUUCGGAUCGUAAAGCUCUGUUGUAAGAGAAGAACGAGUGUGAGAGUGGAAAGUUCACACUGUGACGGUAUCUUACCAGAAAGGGACGGCUAACUACGUG